rnacentral:misc_RNA from 1 species
GGGACAUGCAAGGCUCAACCGGAUUAGUGAGUACCCUAUGCCCAGUGAUGCCAGCGAGCUGAGACAAGAUCCAAAGAAAUCGCAUGCAAACCAGAAAGCCAUGGGCGGUGGGGUAAAGGAAGUAGGCUUGACAAAGCUCUUGACGUUCAUUUCAUCCUCCCAAGGGGACUACAAAGCCCAUUGAUGGUGCUGAUAUGUCCCUGAGAGUACUAGCCUUAGAACAGUAUCUCACUUCUACCUGCAAAUAGCCAUAACCAGUAACAAAUAGAGCAAAUAACAGAAAAUACUAGAAAAGAACAUAUCACAGCACAAGAAGGAAGGACACAUGUCAUCCAUGGAAAACUCCCUCUCUUUAG